UACGUAGGGUGCAAGCGUUGUCCGGAAUUAUUGGGCGUAAAGAGCUCGUAGGCGGUUUGUCGCGUCGAAUGUGAAAACCCGGGGCUCAACCCCGGGCCUGCAUUCGAUACGGGCAGACUAGAGUUCGGUAGGGGAGUCCGGAAUUCCUGGUGUAGCGGUGAAAUGCGCAGAUAUCGGGAGGAACACCGGUGGCGAAGGCGGGACUCUGGGCCGAUACUGACGCUGAGGAGCGAAAGCGUGGGGAGCGAACAGG
rnacentral:rRNA from 1 species